rnacentral:rRNA from 2 species
AUAUAAGCUACUAAGGGUGUAUGGUGGAUAUCUUGGCAGUAAGAGACGAAGAAGGACGUGUGCUAGUCAGCGAUAUGCUUCGGGGAGCCGUCAAGCAGGCCUUGAUCCGAAGAUUUCCGAAUGGGGCAACCCGACCUGUGGAAACACAGGCCACUGGAUGCUGAGUAAAGUAGGCAUCGCAGAGUGAACCUAGGGAACUGAAACAUCUAAGUACCUAGAGGAAAAUUAAUCAAUCGAGAUUGCGUGAGUAGCGGCGAGCGAAAGCGUAAAGGCCCAAACCGAUCAGCUUGCUGGCCGGGGUUGUAGGACUUGCAUAAUGCAGACGAGCGGUAGGUGAAGUGCCUGGGAAGGCACGCCAAAGAGGGUGAAGGCCCCGUAACCGAAACUGUGAGUCGCAGGCGAGUAUCCUGAGUAGGACGGGACACGAGAAAUCCUGUUUGAAGCUGGGGGGACCCCCCUCCAAGGCAAAAUACUACUUACUGACCGAUAGAGAACAAGUACCGCGAGGGAAAGAUGAAAAGAACCCCGAUAAGGGGAGUGAAAUAGAACUUGAAACCAUAUACUUACAUGCAGUGAGAGAGCUAUUGUAAAGCUUGAUCACGUACCUUUUGCAUUAUGAUUCAGCGAGUUACGAUGUGUGGCGAGGUUAAGCCGUUGAAGGCGUAGCCGUAGGGAAACCGAGUCUGAAUAGGGCGAUUAGUCGCAUGUCGUAGACCCGAAACGGGAUGAGCUAUCCAUGGACAGGCCGAAGCGGGGGUAAAACCUCGUGGAGGGCCGAACUCAUGACGGUUGAAAACGUCUGGGAUGAUCUGUGGAUAGGGGUGAAAGGCCAAUCAAAUUCCGUGAUAGCUGGUUCUCUCCGAAAUGCAUUUAGGUGCAGCGUUUAGAGAUUUCUGUCGGGGGUAUAGCACUGACUUGGCUAGGGGGCCUACCAGCUUACCAAACCAUAUCAAACUCAGAAUACCGACAAGAACAUCUAAGCAGUGAGACAGCGGGUGCUAAGGCCCGUUGUCGAGAGGGAAAGAACCCAGACCGUCAGCUAAGGUCCUUAAUUGUUGCUAAGUGGAGAAGGAUGUGGAAUUACUGAGACAUCCAGGAGGUUGGCUUAGAAGCAGCCAUCCUUUAAAGAAAGCGUAAUAGCUCACUGGACUAGUGAUUCUGCGCCGAAAAUGUAACGGGGCUCAAGCAACAUACCGAAGCUACGGAUUUAUACUUUGUAUAACUGGUAGGAGAGCAUUGUGUAUGCUGAUGAAGGCGUACUGUAAGGAGCGCUGGAGGUAUCACAAGAGAAUAUGCUGAAAUGAGUAGCGAUAAGGAAUGUGAGAAUCAUUCCCGCCGUAAAUCCAAGGGUUCCUGGGCCAGGUGACUCCGCCCAGGGUUAGUCGGGUCCUAAGGCGAGGCCGAAAGGCGUAGUCGAUGGAUGACAGGUUAAUAUUCCUGUACUUGGUAUAUAUUGUUUGACUUGUAGGAGUGACGGGGAAAGAUAGCGUGGCCACACUUUGGUUAGUGGUUUAAGUUGGUAGGAGGAUACCUUAGGUAAAUCCGGGGUAUCAUUAACUCUGAGAAAUGAAUACGAGGGCCUGGCCCGAAGCACGUGAUUCUCUGCCUCCAAGAAAAGCUUCGCAAGGAGAUAUGUAUCAACCCGUACCGUAAACCGACACAGGUGGAUGAGGAGAAAAUCCUAAGGCGAUUGGGUAAACUCUAGUUAAGGAACUCUGCAAAUUAGUGCCGUAACUUCGGGAGAAGGCACGCCUAUAAUGGUGACAUCACUUGCUGGUGAAGCUGUUGUAGGCCGCAGUGAAACGGGGGUAGCGACUGUUUAUCAAAAACACAGGUCUCUGCAAACACGCAAGUGGAAGUAUAGGGGCUGACGCCUGCCCGGUGCUGGAAGGUUAAGAGGAGAGGUUAGGGUAACCGAAGCUUUGAAUCGAAGCCCCAGUAAACGGCGGCCGUAACUAUAACGGUCCUAAGGUAGCGAAAUUCCUAGUCGGGUAAGUUCCGACCUGCACGAAUGGCGUAACGACUUCCCCACUGUCUCAAUUAGAGGCCCAGCGAAAUUGGAGUGCGCGUGCAGAUACGCGCAACCUGCGGAGGGACGAAAAGACCCCAUGAACCUUUACUGUAACUUGGCAUUGGUUUUUGAUUAACAUUGCGUAGGAUAGGUGGGAGCUUUUGAUACUGGCAUUCCGGUGUCGGUGGAGGCGUCGUUGAAAUACCACCCUAUGUUGAUCGAAAUCCUAACCUAUGGUCCUGAUCGGGCCAGGGGACAAUGUCUGGUGGGCAGUUUGACUGGGGCGGUCGCCUCCCAAAGAGUAACGGAGGCGCGCUAAGGUUCCCUCAGGCCGUACGGAAAUCGGCUAUAGAGUGUAAACGCAUAAGGGAGCUUGACUGCAAGGCAAGCAAGCCGAGCAGGAUCGAAAGAUGGCGUUAGUGAUCCGGUGGUCCCGAGUGGAAGGGCCAUCGCUCAACGGAUAAAAGGUACUCUGGGGAUAACAGGCUGAUUCCAUCCAAGAGUUCACAUCGACGAUGGAGUUUGGCACCUCGAUGUCGGCUCAUCGCAUCCUGGGGCUGGAGCAGGUCCCAAGGGUUUGACUGUUCGUCAAUUAAAGCGGUACGCGAGCUGGGUUCAAAACGUCGUGAGACAGUUUGGUCUCUAUCCUCCGUGGGCGUAAGAAAUUUGAGAGAAGCUGACCUUAGUACGAGAGGACCGGGUUGGACGAACCUAUGGUGUACCGGUUGUGGCGCCAGCUGCAUUGCCGGGUAGCUAAGUUCGGGAGGGAUAACCGCUGAAAGCAUCUAAGUGGGAAGCCCAUCUCAAGAUAAGAUUUCUUUUAAGACAGCUUGAAGACUACGAGCUUGAUAGGCCAGGUGUGUAAGCACAGUAAUGUGUUGAGCUGACUGGUACUAAAUAGUCGUUUGCUUAUAUUC